rnacentral:rRNA from 1 species
AUUGAACGCUGGCGGCAUGCCUUACGCAUGCAAGUCGAACGGCAGCGGACCUUCGGGUGCCGGCGAGUGGCGAACGGGUGAGUAAUGCAUCGGAACGUACCUUUCAGUGGGGGAUAACGUAGCGAAAGUUACGCUAAUACCGCAUAUUCUGUGAGCAGGAAAGCAGGGGAUCGCAAGACCUUGCGCUGAUUGAGCGGCCGAUGUCAGAUUAGCUAGUUGGUGAGGUAAAGGCUCACCAAGGCGACGAUCUGUAGCGGGUCUGAGAGGAUGAUCCGCCACACUGGAACUGAGACACGGUCCAGACGCCUACGGGAGGCAGCAGUGGGGAAUUUUGGACAAUGGGGGCAACCCUGAUCCAGCCAUGCCGCGUGAGUGAAGAAGGCCUUCGGGUUGUAAAGCUCUUUCGGCCGGGAAGAAAUCGCACGGGCUAAUACCCUGUGUGGAUGACGGUACCGGAAUAAGAAGCACCGGCUAACUACGUGCCAGCAGCCGCCGUAACAC